rnacentral:rRNA from 1 species
GACGAACGCUGGCGGCGUGCCUAAUACAUGCAAGUUGAGCGAUGAAGCUUGGUGCUUGCACCAAUUUGAAGAGCAGCGAACGGGUGAGUAACGCGUGGGGAAUCUGCCUUUGAGCGGGGGACAACAUUUGGAAACGAAUGCUAAUACCGCAUAACAACUUUAAACAUAAGUUUUAAGUUUGAAAGAUGCAAUUGCAUCACUCAAAGAUGAUCCCGCGUUGUAUUAGCUAGUUGGUGAGGUAAAGGCUCACCAAGGCGAUGAUACAUAGCCGACCUGAGAGGGUGGUCGGCCACAUUGGGACUGAGACACGGCCCAAACGCCUACGGGAGGCAGCAGUAGGGAAUCUUCAGCAAUGGACGAAAGUCUGACCGAGCAACGCCGCGUGAGUGAAGAAGGUUGUCGGAUCGUAAAACUCUGUUGGUAGAGAAGAACGUUGGUGAGAGUGGAAAGCUCAUCAAGUGACGGUAACUACCCAGAAAGGGACGGCUAACUACGUG